rnacentral:tRNA from 1 species
CGUAGCUCAGCUGGCAGAGUAUUGCACUUUUAAUGCAGUGGUCGUGGGUUCGAAUCCCACCG